UACGGAGGGGACUAGCGUUGUUCGGAAUUACUGGGCGUAAAGCGCACGUAGUCGGCUUUGCAAGUCGGUUGUGAAAUCCCCGGGCUCAACCUGGGAACUGCAUCCGAGACUGCAUUGCUAGAGUAUGGGAGAGGAAAGCGGAAUUUCUGGUGUAGCAGUGAAAUGCGUAGAUAUCAGAAGGAACAUCAGUGGCGAAGGCGGCUUUCUGGACCAAUACUGACGAUCAGGUGCGAAAGCGUGGGGAGCAAACAGG
rnacentral:rRNA from 1 species